ACCUGGCUGGCUCAGUCCGUGUAGCACGUGACUCUCAAUCUCGGGGUUGUGAGUUCAAGCCCCACGUUGGGUG
rfam:Mustela putorius furo unplaced genomic scaffold scaffold00034, whole genome shotgun sequence.